rnacentral:rRNA from 1 species
UAAGGAAUAUUGGUCAAUGGACGCAAGUCUGAACCAGCCAUGCCGCGUGAAGGAUGAAGGUCCUCUGGAUUGUAAACUUCUUUUAUCUGGGACGAAAACGGGAUUUUUAUCUCAAUGGACGGUACCAGAGGAAUAAGCACCGGCUAACUCUGUGCCAGCAGCCGCGGUAAUACGGAGGGUGCGAGCGUUAUCCGGCUUUACUGGGUUUAAAGGGUGCGUAGGUGGGCUUAUAAGUCAGUGGUGAAAUCUCCGAGCUUAACUUGGAAACUGCCGUUGAUACUAUAGGUCUUGAAUUAUCUGGAGGUAAGCGGAAUACGUCAUGUAGCGGUGAAAUGCUUAGAUAUGACAUAGAACACCAAUUGCGAAGGCAGCUUACUACAUAUAAAUUGACGCUGAGGCACGAAAGCGUGGGGAUCAAACA